UGCCAGCCGCCGCGGUAAUACGAAGGGUGCUAGCGUUGUUCGGAAUUACUGGGCGUAAAGAGCAUGUAGGCGGAUGAAUUAGUCAGAUGUGAAAUCCCACGGCUCAACCGUGGAAUUGCGUUUGAAACCACAGGACUUGAGUAAGAUAGAGGUAAGCGGAACUGAUGGUGGAGCGGUGAAAUGCGUUGAUAUCAUCAGGAACACCGGUGGCGAAAGCGGCUUACUGGGUCUUUACUGACGCUGAGGCACGAAAGCUAGGGGAGCAAACAGGAUUAGAUA
rnacentral:rRNA from 1 species